AACGAACGCUGGCGGCAUGCCUAACACAUGCAAGUCGAACGAUUGCCUUCGGGUGAUAGUGGCGCACGGGUGCGUAACGCGUGGGAAUCUGCCCUUAGGUUCGGAAUAACAGCUGGAAACGGCUGCUAAUACCGGAUGAUAUCGCGAGAUCAAAGAUUUAUCGCCUGAGGAUGAGCCCGCGUUGGAUUAGGUAGUUGGUGGGGUAAAGGCCUACCAAGCCGACGAUCCAUAGCUGGUCUGAGAGGAUGAUCAGCCACACUGGGACUGAGACACGGCCCAGACCCCUGCGGAAGGCGGCAGGGGGGAAUUUUGAACAGGGGCCCCAAGCCUGACCCACCACUGCCCGGUGAGUGAUGAAGCCCUGGGGGUUGAAAAGCUUUUUUCCCCGGGAAGAUAAUGACGGUCCCGGAAAAAAAAGCCCCGGCUAACUCCGUG
rnacentral:rRNA from 1 species